GAUGAACGCUAGCUACAGGCUUAACACAUGCAAGUCGAGGGGCAGCGGGCAGGAAGCUUGCUUUCUGUGCCGGCGACCGGCGCACGGGUGCGUAACGCGUAUCGAACCUACCACAUACUCAGGGAUAGCCUUGCGAAAGUAAGAUUAAUACCUGAUGUUAUUAAACGAUCGCAUGAUGGUUUAAUCAAAGAUUUAUUGGUAUGUGAUGGCGAUGCGUCUGAUUAGGUAGUAGGCGGGGUAACGGCCCACCUAGCCAUCGAUCAGUAGGGGUUCUGAGAGGAAGGUCCCCCACAUUGGAACUGAGACACGGUCCAAACUCCUACGGGAGGCAGCAGUGAGGAAUAUUGGUCAAUGGACGGAAGUCUGAACCAGCCAAGUAGCGUGCAGGAUGACGGCCCUCCGGGUUGUAAACUGCUUUUAGUUGGGAAUAACGACGGGGACGUGUCCCCGGAAAGAAUGUACCAUCAGAAAAAGGACCGGCUAAUUCCGUGCCAGCAGCCGCGGUAAUACGGAAGGUCCGGGCGUUAUCCGGAUUUAUUGGGUUUAAAGGGAGCGUAGGCGGACUGUUAAGUCAGCGGUUAAAGAGUGUGGCUCAACCAUACGAUGCCGUUGAAACUGGUGGUCUUGAGUGCACACAGGGAUGCUGGAACUCGUGGUGUAGCGGUGAAAUGCUUAGAUAUCACGAUGAACUCCGAUCGCGAAGGCAGGUGUCCGGGGUGUAACUGACGCUGAGGCUCGAAAGUGUGGGUAUCAAACAGG
rnacentral:rRNA from 1 species